rnacentral:rRNA from 1 species
UACGUAGGGGGCAAGCGUUGUCCGGAAUUAUUGGGCGUAAAGAGCUUGUAGGCGGUCUGUCGCGUCUGCUGUGAAAAUCCGGGGCUCAACCCCGGACUUGCUGUGGGUACGGGCAGACUAGAGUGUGGUAGGGGAGACUGGAAUUCCUGGUGUAGCGGUGAAAUGCGCAGAUAUCAGGAGGAACACCGGUGGCGAAGGCGGGUCUCUGGGCAAUAACUGACGCUGAGGAGCGAAAGCGUGGGGAGCAAACAGG